UAGAUUCCUUCCCGGGUUGCAGUGCUAGAGGAGUACUUCCCAAAGGUACCAUCCUGGUAAAAGUUAUGCCGAGCACAUAAGAUAGUGGUAUUUCUGACGGACUUGAAUACGCGCAUUUAAUGGGCAUUUGUCAUCCUGAUUUUUCGCUUGACAAUAUUUAUGUUAGCGAGGAAGUGACUGGACAUCAUGUGAAAAUUUUUUCGUUCAAAGGUAAUAUAUUUUAUAACUAAUUUGUCUUACUAGUUUAGACAUUAUAUCUUAGUAUACACUAUAUUUGUUUAUUCACUUAAUUUUUGUUGUUCAGAAAAGAUUUUUCAAAAACAACACGUGCAGCAAGUAAGUCAAAGCUAGAUGAUUAUAAAAGUAUUGAAAAUGUCAUAAGAGAAAGUUAUGACAUUGUCAAUUAUAAUUUUUGUGAUAUAGUAGAGGACUACAUCUUUUUUCUGGAAAACAAGAUUACGCACGUUACCAGUUGGUUGUUAGA